GUGCUUCAGCUUGAACAGCAGAAUCUUCUUUGGGAGGUUCAUAUAUCAAGGACACAUAAGCAUCUGUCUCUUUGUCUUUACUAGAAUCAUCAAUUGGUGCUUCAUUCUGAACAGCUGCAUCGUCUUUCUCUUCAAGUGUAGGAGGUUCAUAUGUCAAAGAUGCAUAAGAAUCUGUUUCUUUGUCUUCUCUAGUAUCUUCUAUUGGUGCUUCAUCCUGAACAACUCCAUCAUCUUUCUCCUCAACUUUAGGAGGUUCAUAUUUCAAAGCUGCAUAAGCAUCCGUCUCUUUAUCAUUCCUAGAAUCUUCUAUUGGUGCUUCAUCCUGAACAGCUGCAUCAUCUUUCUCUUCAACUGUAGGAGGUUCAUAUGUCAAAGAUGCAUAAGAAUCUGUUUCUUUGUCUUCUCUAGUAUCUUCUAUUGGUGCUUCAUCCUGAACAACUCCAUCAUCUUUCUCCUCAACUUUAGGAGGUUCAUAUUUCAAAGCUGCAUAAGCAUCCGUCUCUUUAUCAUUCCUAGAAUCUUCUAUUGGUGCUUCAUCCUGAACAACUCCAUCAUCUUUCUCCUCAACUUUAGGAGGUUCAUAUUUCAAAGCUGCAUAAGCAUCCGUCUCUUUAUCAUUCCUAGAAUCUUCUAUUGGUGCUUCAUCCUGAACAACUCCAUCAUCUUUCUCCUCAACUUUAGGAGGUUCAUAUUUCAAAGCUGCAUAAGCAUCCGUCUCUUUAUCAUUCCUAGAAUCUUCUAUUGGUGCUUCAUCCUGAACAGCUGCAUCAUCUUUCUCUUCAACUGUAGGAGGUUCAUAUGUCAAAGAUGCAUAAGAAUCUGUUUCUUUGUCUUUCCCAGAAUCUUCUAUUGGUGCUCCAUUCUGAACAGUUCCAUCAUCUUUUUCUUCAACUUUAGGAGGUUCAUAUAUCAAAGAUGCAUAAGGAUCUGUCUCUUUGUCUUUGCUAGAAUCUUCAAUUGGUGCUUCAUUCUGAACAGCUCCAUCAUCUUUCUCUUCAACUUUAGGAGGUUCGUCUAUCAAAGACGCAUAAGCAUCCGUCUCUUUGUCUUUACUAGAGUCUUCAAUUGGUGCUCCAUUCUGAACAGCUUCAUCGUCUUUCUCUUCGACUUUGGGAGGUUCGUAUAUCAAAGAUGCAUAAGCAUCCGUGUCUGCGGCAGUCCUAGAAUCUUCUACUGGUGCUCCAUUCUUAACAGCUCCAUCGUCUUUCUCUUCAACCGUAGGAGGUACAUAUAACUCAUAAGCCUCUUCCUCGGAUUUUGAUCUAACAGCUCCAUCAUCUUUCACUUCAACCGUAGGUGGUACAUAUAACUCAUUAGCCUCUUCCUCUGAUUUUGAUCUAACAGCUCCAUCAUCUUUCUCUUCAACCAUACUAACAGCUCCAUCAUCUUUCUCCUCAACCGUACUAACAGCUCCAUCAUCUUUCUCCUCAACCGUAGGAGGUACAUAUAACUCAUAAGCCUCUGUCUCUGCUUUUGUUCUAACAGCUGAGCCUUUACGGUAAAGUAAUCCUGAAGUAUAAACAGAAAACCAUAAGAUGGCAAACAAUCACUCUUCCACCACCAUUAUCCAAUCAAAGUCGCGAACAACUCAACAAAACCAAUGCCAAAAAACUAAACUUACUUUCCUCAAGUCACUAUUGGAGCUCUCAGACAAUUUACCAAAACUUAGCAGCCUCUACAUAACGACAAAUCUGAGCAACUCUUAACAAAAAGACAUAUUUUAAUACAUUUUUUUCCAGUCUAAAUAUUGAAUCUUGUCAUCAACCCAGAAAACAGCAACCCAAUUUGAAAACAUUUAUGAGCCCGUUACACAUAAUACUUACCAAAAAAAAUCACGAAAAUAGUAACUAUGUAGCCGGAUGUUUUCCUUUGCAUUGGUAUAGUUCAGUGUAUCAGGUAUAACUAUAUUAUAGUAAAUUAUAACAUAAAAAACUAUUUUAGAAAUGAAAAAAAAAUCCAAACUUACACCCAAUAUAUAUAUAAACUACAUAGCAGUAAAUUAAACAAUCCUCAUUAGCAUUAGAGCACCAAACAGCAAAAGAUUAUUUAACUUCAACACAAUUUAAUAAAAACAAAAAAAGAACAAGGGACUUCUAGGAAUCAAGGAAAUGGGUAAAAAUCCAAGAAAAAGAUUUACUAUUUACUACUUUUUCUAGCUGACAUACCUAUAUGUACACAAUCAUACACAUAUAAUACCAAAAUUAUACAUCCGCCUGCUAUUUUUCGUUUAAUUAAUCAAAUGGGUAGCUGGCUAUUCAAGUUAGUUCUUCAAAUAAAAAAAAAAUGCUGAACAUACAGAAGAAGAAAAACAGACUUUACACACAAAUAUCGCACAAUUUCUAACACCCAAUAAAAAACCCUAAAAUUCGAAAUACCAACCUGAAUUGAAUCGAGAUUUUGGGUUUUUUUUUAGUAGAAGAGAGGGUCUCCAUUGGAGUUGAGCUCGAUUACUAAGCCUAUAAUUUGGAAGAUUCGAGAAGGUUUGAGGUACACAAAGCUCCAUUGUUUUUUCAGCUAUAAAUGCUGUUUAACCCUGAAAAAAAACAGAGGGGUAAUGGAGGUUUAUAUAGAAGAAGAAGAAGAGGAGGAGAAAACGCUAGGGUUUUAGCUUUUAAGUGUGGUGGUGGUGUUACUGGGCUCAACAAAAUCUUGGAAUGUGAAGCAGGUGGAGAAAAAUGAGUGAAAUAGAAAAAAAGCUAAGGCAAUGAAAUAUCUUUAUUGGUAGUAUUAUAUUGAAAAGUUUAGUUGGGCCUUUGAACUUAGGACCACCAUCAAUCUCAUUCUUGGGCUCUUUUUGUUUUAUUUAGUUGAGACUCUGUCGAAAAUAAUUGAUUUAUAUUUGCGUCUAUUAUCAUAUUUUUUAGGAAUCGCUUAGUGUAAGAUAUAACGUAUAAUAAUCUCAACAUAAAAUACAGAACUAUUUCAUCUUGCGUUUGGUUAGAGGUAUUAGACAGUCAUGCGAUUAUUUAUCCCACCCUUCAUGCCUUAGAAAUGAGAUAAGUUAUUUCAUAUACAUGAUAGAAAUAGUUUCAAAAUAAUUUGUUCCCAACUAAAUGAACCCUAGAUUUUAUGUGUGGGAUUAUAUUAAAUAUGUUAUUUUUAUUAUUAUUGUGAAAUUACACGGAAUGUGUUGUUUGAUGUUGUUGCUUUACUAAGAAAUACUAGAAACUCGAUGUUUACUCAUGAUUUUUUAUUUUUUUUGGUUAUUGUGAAUAUCAUUUUCGUAUCAAUACAAGAUAUGCCUAUUGGACUUCUUACAUAUUAACAAGAAAAUAUUUUCAAAGUAUUUACAUACAUAGAUAUAAUUCAUGUAAUAGCGUAAACUAUCAAAUCAAGAAAGAAAUAACAAUAGCUAAUAUAAGUAUACGAAAGAACCUUUUUUUAUUUGAAUCCUUGUGAUGCAAUUGGAUUUCAUGAGGUAGUUUGUUUUGAUCAGGUCAUUAAUCUACAUUCAUUUAUUAUUGUUUUUACACAUAUACCACUUUAGAUAUACGAUAUUUGGUUGAUUUUGAUAAAAUCAAACUUUAUAUACAUUGUUUGAAGUUUUGUAUAGCUGAAGUUCAUAUGUUUUUACCUAAAGUUAACUCGAAGUAACUACACAUGCAAAAAAACAUAAGAAAAUAAGUUAAAUAGCAAUGUCGAAAAUAAAAAUUUAUACAUUUCACCUUAUUAUAUAAAGAUUAUGAAAUUCAUUAGGUUCAAUAGAUCGCUUAAGCCAUCAUUGACAUAACUAUAAACUUAUACAAUUUUUGUUAAAGGCAUAAAAGCAUUUGGUGAAAUCAGUAAACUAUAUUUGCUUUUGGAUAAAUGUGUGAGAUAAAAGGUCGAUAACUUUUACUUUCUUUUUUUCAAAUAACUUUUAAUAUCCUAUAUACCCAAUAGAAUAAGAUCAUAUAUAUUUGGUAUGAUGGAAUGUUAAACAUAUAUUUUUAUAAAAGUAUUUUUUAUGCAGGUUCUCUAUCAUAGAAUUCGAACAUCAUGAUAAAUUUGGCCAGUGACUUCUAUAAAGAAGAUGGCACAAAGAAAAAGCUCGAUCUCAAAACUUUGUUAAGCCGGAAGAUAACAAGGUCUAACGAAGGACAAAAAACAAAAUAUGUUUUAUGAUCUUAAAUAUUUAGUAGAUAUUUUAAUACACAUAUAAAUGUAAUAUUAAACAAAAAUAUAUAUAUUAAGUUAACGUGGAUUCAUUAUUUACACUUGAGAGAUUUCUUCAUCAUUUAUCUUUUGUCUCAAACUUGAGAUUCAAAAGCCACUGUCCACGUGCCUACUCACGUGACUGCUUAAACAUGUAUUAACUCAGCUUUGUCUCUUUGUCAUCAAAUCUACUCGCAACAUUAGAUAUAAUUAACACUUCAUUUUGUCUAAUCAAGUUUUUGUUUGUGAAUUUAAAUUUAAUCGGACCAUAAUGACGAUAACAACAACAAUAUAUCCAAUGAAGGCCUACAAAUGAGGUAUGUGGAGG
rnacentral:lncRNA from 1 species